rnacentral:tRNA from 1 species
CUAGUCAGGAUGGCCGAGUGGUCUAAGGUGCCAGACUCAAGUUUUGGUCUUCGAGAGAGGGCGGGGUUCAAAUCCCACUUCUGACAU